AUACUCUGGUUUCUCUUCAGAUUGCAUGUCUUGCCUUUUACUAAAGAUUUCCAUGGAGAGGAAUAUUUGUGAGUUUGUCUUAUUUUUGAGCUCAAAGGAAAAGUUUCCAAUGU
rfam:Canis lupus familiaris chromosome 15, whole genome shotgun sequence.